rnacentral:rRNA from 1 species
GACGAACGCUGGCGGCGUGCUUAACACAUGCAAGUCGAGCGGUGCGGCGAACGGGUGAGUAACGCGUGAGUAACUGCCCCCCUCUCUGGGAUAACAGUUGGAAACGUCUGCUAAUCCCGGAUAGUGGGGGAUGACGCGCGUCCUCUCAGCUUGUGGGGGGGGUAGUGGCCUACGAAGGCGACGACGGGUAGCCGGCCUGAGGGGGCGCCCGGCGAAAUUGGGCUGGGAUACGGCCCAAACGCCGACGGGAGGCAGCAGUGGGGAAUAUUGCACAAGGGGGUAAACCCUGAUGCAGCAACGCCGCGUGCGGGAUGACGGCCUUCGGGUUGUAAACCGCUUUCAGCCAGGACGCGGUAGUGGCAGAAGAAGCACCGGCUAACGACGUGCCAGCAGCCGCGGUAAUUC